rnacentral:tRNA from 1 species
GGGUAUAGCUCAGUGGUAGAGUGCAUGCCUAGCAUGCACAAGGUCCUGAGUUCAAUCCCUAGUACCUCCA